rnacentral:rRNA from 1 species
GAUGAACGCUGGCGGCGUGCCUAAUACAUGCAAGUCGAGCGAACGGACGAGGAGCUUGCUUCUCUGAUGUUAGCGGCGGACGGGUGAGUAACACGUGGAUAACCUACCUAUAAGACUGGGAUAACUUCGGGAAACCGGAGCUAAUACCGGAUAAUAUUUUGAACCGCAUGGUUCAAUAGUGAAAGACGGUUUUGCUGUCACUUAUAGAUGGAUCCGCGCCGCAUUAGCUAGUUGGUAAGGUAACGGCUUACCAAGGCAACGAUGCGUAGCCGACCUGAGAGGGUGAUCGGCCACACUGGAACUGAGACACGGUCCAGACUCCUACGGGAGGCAGCAGUAGGGAAUCUUCCGCAAUGGGCGAAAGCCUGACGGAGCAACGCCGCGUGAGUGAUGAAGGUCUUCGGAUCGUAAAACUCUGUUAUUAGGGAAGAACAAAUGUGUAAGUAACUAUGCACGUCUUGACGGUACCUAAUCAGAAAGCCACGGCUAACUACGUG